rnacentral:rRNA from 1 species
UACGUGGGGUGCAAGCGUUGUUCGGAAUUACUGGGCGUAAAGCGCGUGUAGGCGGCCAGGUGUGUCAUAUGUGAAAUCCCUUGGCUUAACCAAGGAACUGCGUGUGAAACUGCCUGGCUAGAGUUUGGGAGAGGAGGGUGGAAUUUCCAGUGUAGAGGUGAAAUUCGUAGAUAUUGGGAGGAACACCGGUGGUGAAAGCGACUCUCUAGACCAAAACUGACGCUGAGACGCGAAAGCAUGGGUAGCAAACAGG